rnacentral:rRNA from 1 species
ACUAAUUCUAGCCCCAACACCCAUACAUCUAAUUAUACAACACAAUAAAUCAAAACAUUUACCCAAAUAAAAGUAUUGGAGAAAGAAAUUUACAUUAAGGAGCUAUAGAGUUAGUACCGCAAGGGAAAGAUGAAAGACCAAUUUAUAGUACAAAUAAGCAAAGAUAAAACCUUGUACCUUUUGCAUAAUGAAUUAACUAGAAACCUUUUGACUAAGGGAACUAAAGCCAAAGAUCCCGAAACCAAACGAGCUACCUAAAAACAAUUUUACGAAUCAACCCGUCUAUGUAGCAAAAUAGUGGGAAGAUUUUUAGGUAGAGGUGAAAAGCCAAACGAGCUUGGUGAUAGCUGGUAACCCAGAAAAUGAAUUUUAGUUCAAUUUUAAAUUUACCAAAAGAAUAAAAAAUCUAUAUGUAAAUUUAAAUUAUAGCCAAAAGAGGGACAGCUCUUUAGGAAUUGGAAAAAAACCUUUAAUAGUGAAUAAACAAAUACAAAUUAACCAUUGUUGGCCUAAAAGCAGCCACCAAUAAAGAAAGCGUUCAAGCUCAACAUAAUAAGCACUCUAAUCCCUAAAUUAUAAUAAUUUCCUAAACUAUAAACUGGGUUAUUCUAUAAAUUUAUAGAAGAAACACUGUUAAUAUGAGUAACAAGAACUUAUUCUCCAAGCACAAGUGUAUAACAACCCGGAUAACCAUUGUUAGUUAUCAGAUUAUAGAUAUUACCCCUCAAAUAAAUUUAUCUAAAAACUAUCUGUUAAUCCAACACAGGAGUGCAACAAGGAAAGAUUAACCAAAAUAAAAGGAACUCGGCAAACCAAAACCCCGCCUGUUUACCAAAAACAUCACCUCUAGCAUUACAAGUAUUAGAGGCAUUGCCUGCCCAGUGACUAUAGUUUAACGGCCGCGGUAUCCUGACCGUGCAAAGGUAGCAUAAUCAUUUGUUCCUUAAUUAGGGACUAGUAUGAACGGCUAGACGAGGGUUUGACUGUCUCUUAUUUUUGAUCAGUGAAAUUGACCUUCCAGUGAAGAGGCUGGAAUCUUAAAAUAAGACGAGAAGACCCUAUGGAGCUUAAAUUAACAAGCUUAAUUAUUAUAUCAACAUCCUAAUGGACUAAAACAAAAAAUAUAAGCUUAAAAUUUUGGUUGGGGUGACCUCGGAGAACAAAAAAUCCUCCGAACGAUUAUAACAUAGACCAACAAGUCAAAGUAACUAACUUAUCCAAUUGACCCAAAACAAUUUGAUCAACGGACCAAGUUACCCUAGGGAUAACAGCGCAAUCCUAUUUAAGAGUCCAUAUCGACAAUAGGGUUUACGACCUCGAUGUUGGAUCAGGACAUCCCAAUGGUGCAGAAGCUAUUAAUGGUUCGUUUGUUCAACGAUUAAAGUCCUACGUGAUCUGAGUUCAGACCGGAGAAAUCCAGGUCGGUUUCUAUCUAUUAACAAUUUCUCCCAGUACGAAAGGAUAAGAGAAAUAGAGCCACCUUUAUAGAAGUGCUCUAAAUUAAAUUUAUGAAUAAAUCUAAAUAAAAAUUUUCUGUAAAUUUCUUACCUAGACAAGGUU